AUUGAACGCUGGCGGCAUGCCUUACACAUGCAAGUCGAACGGCAGCGCGGGUGCUUGCACCUGGUGGCGAGUGGCGAACGGGUGAGUAAUACAUCGGAACAUGUCCUGUAGUGGGGGAUAGCCCGGCGAAAGCCGGAUUAAUACCGCAUACGAUCUACGGAUGAAAGCGGGGGGCCUUCGGGCCUCGCGCUAUAGGGUUGGCCGAUGGCUGAUUAGCUAGUUGGUGGGGUAAAGGCCUACCAAGGCGACGAUCAGUAGCUGGUCUGAGAGGACGACCAGCCACACUGGGACUGAGACACGGCCCAGACUCCUACGGGAGGCAGCAGUGGGGAAUUUUGGACAAUGGGCGAAAGCCUGAUCCAGCAAUGCCGCGUGUGUGAAGAAGGCCUUCGGGUUGUAAAGCACUUUUGUCCGGAAAGAAAUCCUUGGCCCUAAUACGGUCGGGGGAUGACGGUACCGGAAGAAUAAGCACCGGCUAACUACGUG
rnacentral:rRNA from 1 species